UCAGCUCUGCUGAUGUAGGGCUGCACUUUGGACAGCAAGCUGGGUGCCCGAGAUCACCUUGAUGAAUGAUCACUCUCAUGGCGAAGUCCCAGCUCCAGCGCACUCCUGAGAGAGGACACGAGGAACGUCCCUUGUGCGUGGCGGUCAACUGCUGCGAGAGGCGGCAACCUGGACAAAUGAGGCACGCUGCUCCCUUGGGGGUGAAGAGACCGGGAGGAUGUGUCCAAGGGAGAAUCGGUGGCUGAGCAAACAUGAGCAAGAAGCUGGGUGGAAAAGUGCAUCGAAUUGCACUUCUAUGCGCCCUGCGAUGGGAUACCAUCAUCAGCCAGAUGCACUGGCAAGUCGGUCCUUGGUGAGCCAAGCCCCCAGCUGCCUGCAGAUGUAUAAGGGAGCAGGGCAUCUCCAUCCGUGCUGAAACCACAGCCCUGUCUGCCUUCACAUGAGAGCGUGACCGGAGCAGUAAAAGGACCCGGCUC